CAGCCGCCACGGUAAUACGUAGGGGGCAAGCGUUAUCCGGAUUUACUGGGUGUAAAGGGAGCGCAGACGGCCAAGCAAGUCUGAAGUGAAAUGCAUGGGCUCAACCCAUGAAUUGCUUUGGAAACUGUUAGGCUUGAGUGUCGGAGGGGUAAGCGGAAUUCCUAGUGUAGCGGUGAAAUGCGUAGAUAUUAGGAGGAACACCGGAGGCGAAGGCGGCUUACUGGACGACAACUGACGUUGAGGCUCGAAGGCGUGGGGAGCAAACAGGAUUAGAUACCCCUGUAGUCCCUGUCUCUUAUAC
rnacentral:rRNA from 1 species